ACAUGACUACAACAUAGCAUUAAUGGAAUGGAUCCCAUUAGAACUCGACAAUUAAAGGCACUCAAGCUAGAGUAGUACUGGGAUGGGUGACCGCCCAGGAAGUCCUAGUGUUUUACAUGCC
rnacentral:rRNA from 1 species